ACAAAAUCCCCAAAUUGAAGAAAUAAGUCCCUAGAUCGUCUCCCUCCUUCCUCUCGGCGAAAUCGCCGCUUCACCUGGUCGCCGGAGCACCAUAGCCGUCGCGAUUCAUAAUCUCAUCCACUAGCUCCAUUUCUCGGCGACCUCACGCAAUGUCGCCAGCCCCCAGCUCUGGACCGACGACAAGCCGGUGUCGCCGCUAUCACGCGGCGAGCUCCGCCGCCACCUCUGCUCCAGCUCUCUCUCCGUUCUUGGACUUCUCAACACAGCGAUUCGCCGCCGUCGAGCCCAUCUACCGCCCGCUCAGCUGUCGCCGCGUGGGGUGUGGCCUGUCAGCGCGAAGCCAGCGCCGCCGACUUCGUUACGGCGCAGCACCUAUCUCUGCCCCCUUUCGGUUAGAGACCUAGGCCGCCGUUACCUCACGCUGCUGCUCCAGCAGCGCCGCCGCUACAGUCAGUUCCCCAGGGCUCCGUCGUCAUUCGGCCCUCGCCGAACAGCCCCGUUUGGUCCCACUUCUCGACCCCGAAGCUAAGUUCUAUUACUUCCUCUUUACUUUGUUAAUUUGAGUCCGGAACUUAAGUGUUCACUCACUGGAAUGGGCUUAGUGUUUGGGGCUAGAGUGUUGAUCCUUAAAUUAUUAAAGCUUGCUACUGCUGUGAGGUUCCUAAAGCCAUGAUUCUAUGUUCUUGAGCCUUGCAUGAUGUCUUGAAACAAAAGCAGAGGGUGUGCUAGUGUUUUUACUGAUUUCAUUUAGGAUUUAGGAUUUAGCAUGCUAUUUAAGAUUUCUAAGUUGAGGUGCUUCUACACAUGCUUCUGCUUGGUUUCCUACUAUUUCUGUGUUGUAGAUUUGCUAAGUGAUAUCCUUGUGCUUAAGCAUGAUUGUGUAGUGGUGUUCUACAUGGAUGAAAAGGAGUGACAUGGAGGGUGUUGAUGAUUUACCUGUUGUGGUGAAAGGGACCAAAAGGAGAGAGAUGGAGUGCUUUUGAUCUUAGCUCGCUCACUGCCCUCUUUCUCUAUUGCUGGUUGAAAAGUUGAGUAAAGGGGUGAGGUCAAGGGAAGGCAUAUAUAUAGGAGUCUUGAAAUUCUGAAAUCUGCAGGGUAGAUAAUGUGCAGGAGUGUAUCUACUAUUUUGAGCUAUGUGUUGGCUUCUCUUUCAUAGUCUACUUUAACUUCUAUUGUUCAUAUUGUGUAUGGAGUCUUGUCUCAUUUAUGGGCUGAUUGGCAGCUUGUGUGAGGUUGUACAUAGGGUGUAUCGUGAAAGGUGAACGGGCUGAGCUCAUCCUUUGUUUUCUUAUUGCAGCAAAAUCCUCUUUGAUGAUUCUUCACCACCUUUAAUUUAAGAAAGCUUGGUGUUUUGCCUGUGCAUAAGUACUCUUGCAUUAAUACACUUUGUUUGAUUUUUGCAGGUACAAGAGAGAGAAUCCAGGGGCUGUUGGGAGUAGAGGAGUUCAAUCUGACCUUGCUUCCUUUGGCAAGUCUUUUGGUCUACUCUAAGAAAGACCUUGGAAAAAGAAUUGGGCUGCCAAGUGGGCCUACCAAGGCAUGGGUCUGCUGCCCUUGGCCCAUCGGGCUACUUCUUCAAAACAUCGGGCCAUGAGACCCUUGGGCUCGAAAGAGAGGCCCAACAUUCACAUAUUUGUAUUCUUAAAUUCUUUCUCGUCGACUUGUGUGUAAUUUAUUUUGUAACUAGAGAGUAGCUUGAUAUGUAUUCGGACAUUCAAAUUCUGAAAUGUAACCUCAUAUUAUUUCUUGA